UAUAAGCAAUUUAUACGGUGAAACUGCGAAUGGCUCAUUAAAUCAGUUAUCGUUUAUUUGAUAGUACCUUACUACAUGGAUACCUGUGGUAAUUCUAGAGCUAAUACAUGCUAAAAACCUCGACUUCGGAAGGGGUGUAUUUAUUAGAUAAAAAACCAAUGCCCUUCGGGGCUCCUUGGUGAAUCAUAAUAACUUAACGAAUCGCAUGGCCUUGCGCCGGCGAUGGUUCAUUCAAAUUUCUGCCCUAUCAACUUUCGAUGGUAGGAUAGUGGCCUACCAUGGUGGCAACGGGUAACGGGGAAUUAGGGUUCGAUUCCGGAGAGGGAGCCUGAGAAACGGCUACCACAUCCAAGGAAGGCAGCAGGCGCGCAAAUUACCCAAUCCCGACACGGGGAGGUAGUGACAAUAAAUACUGAUACGGGGCUCUUUUGGGUCUCGUAAUUGGAAUGAGUACAAUUUAAAUCCCUUAACGAGGAACAAUUGGAGGGCAAGUCUGGUGCCAGCAGCCGCGGUAAUUCCAGCUCCAAUAGCGUAUAUUAAAGUUGUUGCAGUUAAAAAGCUCGUAGUUGAACCUUGGGUCUGGCUGGCCGGUCCGCCUCACCGCGAGUACUGGUCCGGCUGGACCUUUCCUUCUGGGGAACCCCAUGGCCUUCACUGGCUGUGGGGGGAACCAGGACUUUUACUGUGAAAAAAUUAGAGUGUUCAAAGCAGGCCUUUGCUCGAAUACAUUAGCAUGGAAUAAUAGAAUAGGACGUGCGGUUCUAUUUUGUUGGUUUCUAGGACCGCCGUAAUGAUUAAUAGGGAUAGUCGGGGGCGUCAGUAUUCAGCUGUCAGAGGUGAAAUUCUUGGAUUUGCUGAAGACUAACUACUGCGAAAGCAUUCGCCAAGGAUGUUUUCAUUAAUCAGGGAACGAAAGUUAGGGGAUCGAAGACGAUCAGAUACCGUCGUAGUCUUAACCAUAAACUAUGCCGACUAGGGAUCGGGCGGUGUUCUAUGAUGACCCGCUCGGCACCUUACGAGAAAUCAAAGUUUUUGGGUUCUGGG
rnacentral:rRNA from 1 species